AGAUCUCUCUCUCUGCGGAAGCCAGCCACCGCUCUCCAAGGACUCUCGAGCAGCUCCAUCUACAGAUUCACAUGGAGAAGAAUUAAGGGUUCCUGCCAAUCACCAGCACCACUUUGCCAGCCUUGUAAGUGGGCCACCUUGGAAUUGGAGCCUCCAGUUCCUACUGACAUCUGACUGCAACAUCAUGAGAGACCCUGAGUUUGAACCACCCAGCUGAGCUGCUUCUGAGCUAACCCACUGAAACCGUGAAAGUACCUGAAUGAAACAACACCCAGUAGCCACUAGCACACCUAGCUCCCAGAUCUGUUUUUGAUGCCAUUCUUCAGUAAAAGGAAGCAAGGCUGCUUGGAGAAAUUGCUAUCAAGGACUGGGGUAGAAAAUAUACAAGAUGAAAUUGGAGCAUCUUGUAGUGCUUGAAAACAGUUGGCAUCUGUGUGAAGAUGUGAAUGGAGGAGGCAGAGUAGGCAGUGAGUGCCGCAGCCACAGCUUGUGUUCUCUGCAGCCCUGGCACAGAAGAUAGGAACACUCAUGGGGGAUGCGGCCACUGUGAUGUCUUCCCACACAAGAAGUGCCAAGUGCUUUUCUCAUGCUUUUCUGGAUUGUCCCAUGGUGGACGAGUCAGCAGGAGUGAGAUGGAGCAGCACAGUAGAGGGCACCUGCUCUGUUUUGUCCCAGGCCAGGAUAUCGUUGUACAUAUUCUCAGCUAAGUGAGCACCAAUAGAGGAGAGGGAGAGUCUCAUGGAAGUUCCUUCUAAGCCUUUGGCUCUUUUUACCUUCAACAAGGUGUGCCACCUCUUUGAUCCAGCAAGUGGGAAGAACAGUCCCGGCCUCUUUGCACACAAGACCGUGAUACCAAUGCACCAUCACAGGCCCCACAGGGGAGCUGUCCGCUUCCCCACACAGCUGCUAGGGGCUCUUUUGCAUGUUCCCAACCUUUCCUGCCUUUAUCUGAUAUUCGUUCCUUAGAUCCUGGGAUGAGGAGGUGGACCAGCAGAAGGUGGGCUUGUGAAGGCAGCCCGGGGUCCAAAUCCUCCUGGCUCUUCAGCUUAGCGGGUUAGUUAACAUUCAGAAGCCUUCAUCUCCCAUCUGCAAAAUGGGCAUGUCCAACUCAGAAGCUGCCUUGAAGAAAGGGUCUACCCAGCAUGGUGCGUGGAGCCUAAGCAGUCAGUACUUCAGGACUUCACCCGGCCCCUUUCCAAUAACUGCUGCUGUCGCCCUCACAGGAUGUCACCUUCAGCGUCUGAAAGCUGGGUUUGAUGCGUCUGGAAAGGCGUCCCUGACAGGCGUCGUUGCCAGGAGCCCCUAGUGCCACCAGCAGCCAGCAGGGGAGGGCGUCCUCUGCCCGCUCACUUCUGACCCUUCUCUCGUUGCACCCGGAACAUGGUGCAGCUGGGAGCAGCCUGGGCUGCGCGGAAGGCUCAGAUUUGGGGACGGCCCUUGCCAGUGACUGUGAGCUGGGGUGUCUUGGAAACUCCCAGUCUCAGCUUCUCCAUUUAUAAGAUGAGAAUGAUCAUACCAGACUCAGGCAAGGUUGUUUGUGCAUUAGUGAAAUCAGACGUAUUAAAUAAAGUACCACAUUGAUCGUGGAGUUGUUGAAUAACCAAGAA
ensembl:lncRNA LINC00658 long intergenic non-protein coding RNA 658